rnacentral:lncRNA from 10 species
UUCCUACUCUGUGGAUACUGGCCUCUACUAUUACAUUCUUUUCAUGACCUAUUUUUCUAUAUUUUUUCAAUGUCAUACUUUCUCCUGAGACUUAAAGCCGUUUGAAUCAGCAAAUAUUAGGUGUGAGGAACAUUACAAUGGACCUUUAUAAAGCAAUUUGGCUUUUGGAAAGUAACAACAAACAUUCUUGUAGGGAAGAAAAUGAAGAAAUAAAAAUAUUUGGGGAUAGUUACACCUUAUAAUGAUACAUUGAGAACUGGUUCUUUACCUUAAACAAAAUUUCUUAUAUGGCUAACUCUUAUAAAUUAUCAAAAAUGAAGGAAAAAAUCUUUACAAGGAGUGGCUUAAGUAUUUUGACUUGUUUUCUUGGCUAAUUUUAUUUUUAUUUUAAAGCUCUAAAGCCAUUUCCUGCUUUGCUUUGGUCAAAUUAAAGGGAAAAGAAAAAUCAAACAAGAAAAUAGAGAUGUUGAGUGAAGUUGAUGACCAUACAGAAUAACAUAUGUGCUUUGUCACUUGUGAACAAUUUUCCAUCUCUGCACACUUACGAACCCUCUGAGCACCUCCGUGUAUUUACUGCUGGCCAUGUGGUGAUGUCUUCUUGCCAGUGAUAUAGAACAAGCGGUCCAGGGUAGAGAACAAGCUGCCCCUGUCCUUGGCAGGAAUUCAGUCUGUACCUUAGGGUACAGGGCACGCAGGGCCAGGCCCUCCUGAGGCAGUAUUUCAUCCCUGCCCCAAGGUCAGCUCUGGAAAUCUGGGAUAGAGAACACCACAAAACAGAGUGGGGAGCAGAAGAACCAGUAGCCUGUCUAGCUCUCCUAACAAAACCCUAGUUAUUUUCAUCAUUGCUCCCAGUAGAUGCCCUGAUCAGAUGCACAAACCAAUGAUUAUGUUGGUAAAGACCCAACAUUUCUAAUGUGUCUGUGCCUGCGUAGAUUCAUUUAGACGAAUCCAUAUUAUUAAAACAACUUGCACAGAACACGAUCACAGAUCCUUCAUUGACAAACAAGCGAACUGGGCUGCUGAUGAGUCUCUGAACUGUCUUUUAGCUGAAUUGUUGUUAAAUACAAACAUGGUCCUUUUUUUUCUAAAGGGGCGCAUGUUAAACAAUUUAAUAUUUUAGAAAAAUACUUUCCCUUAUUUAAAUGAAAAUAAGUAAUGUAGUUUGCAAAGUAAAAGGCAGGGUUUCAUCUUUUAGACAAAAAAAAAAAUUAAAAGAGAGAGAGAAAGACAUGUAUUGUCUAUUUAACA